rnacentral:rRNA from 1 species
GAUGAACGCUGGCGGCGUGCCUAAUACAUGCAAGUCGAGCGAACAGACGAGGAGCUUGCUCCUCUGACGUUAGCGGCGGACGGGUGAGUAACACGUGGAUAACCUACCUAUAAGACUGGGAUAACUUCGGGAAACCGGAGCUAAUACCGGAUAAUAUAUUGAACCGCAUGGUUCAAUAGUGAAAGACGGUUUUGCUGUCACUUAUAGAUGGAUCCGCGCCGCAUUAGCUAGUUGGUAAGGUAACGGCUUACCAAGGCAACGAUGCGUAGCCGACCUGAGAGGGGUGUCGCCCCACUUGAAAUGGGCCCGCGCCACAGACUCUGAGGGGGGGCCGGAAGGGGAAAACUUCCGAAAAGGGGGAAAGCCUGGGGAGGCAGCGCCGGGGGGGGGAAAAAGGUCUUGGGGCUGUAAAACCUUUUUUUUGGGGAAAAAAAAAUGUGUAAGUAAUGAUGCCCUCUUGAGCGUAACUAAAAAAAAAACCCCCGGUAAACUGGGG